AACGCGAAGAACCUUACCCGGCCUUGACAUCUAUGGAAUUCUGCAGAGAUGCAGAAGUGCCUUCGGGAACCAUAAGACAGGUGCUGCAUGGCUGUCGUCAGCUCGUGUCGUGAGAUGUUGGGUUAAGUCCCGCAACGAGCGCAACCCUUGUCCUUAGUUGCCAUCAUUAAGUUGGGAACUCUAAGGAGACCGCCGGUGACAAACCGGAGGAAGGUGGGGAUGACGUCAAGUCAUCAUGGCCUUUAUGGCCGGGGCUACACACGUGCUACAAUGGCAGGUACAGAGGGAAGCCAACUCGCGAGAGGGAGCCAAUCCCAGAAAGCCUGUCGUAGUCCGGAUCGGAGUCUGCAACUCGACUCUGUGAAGUCGGAAUCGCUAGUAAUCGCAGAUCAGCAUUGCUGCGGUGAAUACGUUCCCGGGCCUUGUA
rnacentral:rRNA from 1 species